rnacentral:rRNA from 1 species
CAAUCAAACCGGGAGAUAGCUGGUUCUCCCCGAAAGCUAUUUAGGUAGCGCCUCGUGAAUUCAUCUCCGGGGGUAGAGCACUGUUUCGGCUAGGGGGCCAUCCCGGCUUACCAACCCGAUGCAAACUGCGAAUACCGGAGAAUGUUAUCACGGGAGACACACGGCGGGUGCUAACGUCCGUCGUGAAGAGGGAAACAACCCAGACCGCCAGCUAAGGUCCCAAAGUCAUGGUUAAGUGGGAAACGAUGUGGGAAGGCCCAGACAGCCAGGAUGUUGGCUUAGAAGCAGCCAUCAUUUAAAGAAAGCGUAAUAGCUCACUGGUCGAGUCGGCCUGCGCGGAAGAUGUAACGGGGCUAAACCAUGCACCGAAGCUGCGGCAGCGAACGUAUCACCCAAGACAACUUUACGGAGUUGACGAUUGACGGAGCGAAGCGACGUCAAAGCGUUCAUUAAAGUCGAGUUGGCUUAGGGAUACGUUCGUUGGGUAGGGGAGCGUUCUGUAAGCCUGUGAAGGUGUGUCGUGAGGCAUGCUGGAGGUAUCAGAAGUGCGAAUGCUGACAUAAGUAACGAUAAAGCGGGUGAAAAGCCCGCUCGCCGGAAGACCAAGGGUUCCUGUCCAACGUUAAUCGGGGCAGGGUGAGUCGACCCCUAAGGCGAGGCCGAAAGGCGUAGUCGAUGGGAAACGGGUUAAUAUUCCCGUACUUGGUGUUACUGCGAAGGGGGGACGGAGAAGGCUAUGUUGGCCGGGCGACGGUUGUCCCGGUUUAAGCGUGUAGGUGUGUGUUCCAGGUAAAUCCGGUUCACUUUAACACUGAGGCGUGAUGACGAGGCACUACGGUGCUGAAGCAACAAAU